rnacentral:rRNA from 1 species
UAGCUGGCGCGGCCUACACAUGCAAGUCGAGCGGAUGAAAGGAGCUUGCUCCUGGAUUCAGCGGCGGACGGGUGAGUAAUGCCUAGGAAUCUGCCUGGUAGUGGGGGACAACGUUUCGAAAGGAACGCUAAUACCGCAUACGUCCUACGGGAGAAAGCAGGGGACCUUCGGGCCUUGCGCUAUCAGAUGAGCCUAGGUCGGAUUAGCUAGUUGGUGAGGUAAUGGCUCACCAAGGCGACGAUCCGUAACUGGUCUGAGAGGAUGAUCAGUCACACUGGAACUGAGACACGGUCCAGACUCCUACGGGAGGCAGCAGUGGGGAAUAUUGGACAAUGGGCGAAAGCCUGAUCCAGCCAUGCCGCGUGUGUGAAGAAGGUCUUCGGAUUGUAAAGCACUUUAAGUUGGGAGGAAGGGUUGUAGAUUAAUACUCUGCAAUAUUGACGUUACCGACAGAAUAAGCACCGGCUAACUCUGUGCCAGCAGCCGCGGUAAU